rnacentral:tRNA from 1 species
AAUUACUUUGGCAGAAUAGUGCAUUAAAUUUAGAAUUUAAAAUUAAAUAUAUAAAAUUAAGGUAGAUAUAUAAGUAAUA